rnacentral:rRNA from 1 species
CCAAUAGCGUAUAUUAAAGUUGUUGCAGUUAAAAAGCUCGUAGUUGAAUUUCGGGAUCAAUAUGUUGGUCGUGCCAUUGGUACGUACUGGCAUUAUUGGUUUCUACCUUCUGAAGAACCUCGAUGUCAUUACUUUGGUGUCUUGGGGAAUCAGGACUGUUACUUUGAAAAAAUUAGAGUGUUUAAAGCAGGCUCGCGCUUGAAUACAUUAGCAUGGAAUAAUGAAAUAGGACGUUUGAUUCUAUUUUGUUGGUUUCUAGGAUCGACGUAAUGAUUAAUAGGGAUAGUUGGGGGCAUUAGUAUUCAAUUGUCAGAGGUGAAAUUCUUGGAUUUAUUGAAGACUAACUACUGCGAAAGCAUUUGCCAAGGAUGUUUUCAUUAAUCAAGAACGAAAGUUAGGGGAUCGAAGACGAUCAGAUACCGUCGUAGUCUUAACCAUAAACUAUGCCGACUAGGGAUCGGAUGAUGUUAAUUUUUUAAUGACUCAUUCGGCGCCUUACG